rnacentral:rRNA from 1 species
UACGAAGGGGACUAGCGUUGUUCGGAAUUACUGGGCGUAAAGCGCACGUAGGCGGAUUUGUAAGUCAGGGGUGAAAUCCCAGAGCUCAACUCUGGAACUGCCUUUGAUACUGUCGAUCUGGAGUAUGGAAGAGGUGAGUGGAAUUCCGAGUGUAGAGGUGAAAUGCGUAGAUAUCGAGAGGAACACCUGCGGCGAAGGCGGGUAGCUGGGCCGACACUGACGCUGAGGCGCGAAAGCUAGGGGAGCGGACGGG